rnacentral:rRNA from 1 species
UACGUAGGGUGCGAGCGUUAAUCGGAAUUACUGGGCGUAAAGCGUGCGCAGGCGGUUUGUUAAGUCUGAUGUGAAAGCCCCGGGCUCAACCUGGGAAUGGCAUUGGAAACUGGCAAGCUUGAGUAUGGCAGAGGGGGGUGGAAUUCCGCGUGUAGCAGUGAAAUGCGUAGAGAUGCGGAGGAACACCGAUGGCGAAGGCAGCCCCCUGGGCCAAUACUGACGCUCAGGCACGAAAGCGUAGGGAGCAAACAGG